rnacentral:rRNA from 1 species
GCGCGAAAACUUUGCAAUGCGGGAAACCGUGACAAGGGAACUCUGAGUGCCCGUUAAAUCGGGCUGUCCAUCGGUUUAAAUAACCGGUGAAGAAAGGGCCGGGCAAGACCGGUGCCAGCCGCCGCGGUAAUACCGGCGGCUCGAGUGGUGGCCACUAUUACUGGGCUUAAAGCGUUCGUAGCUGGUUUGUUAAGUCUCUGGGGAAAUCUUCCGGCUUAACCGGAAGGCGUUUCAGGGAUACUGGCAGACUAGGGACCGGGAGAGGUGAGAGGUACUCCAGGGGUAGGAGUGAAAUCCUGUAAUCCUUGGGGGACCACCUGUGGCGAAGGCGUCUCACCAGAACGGCUCCGACAGUGAGGGACGAAAGCUGGGGGAGCAAACCGGGAUUAGAGACCCCGG